AGAUUGAACGCUGGCGGCAGGCCUAACACAUGCAAGUCGAGCGGUAGAGAGGUGCUUGCAUCUCUUGAGAGCGGCGGACGGGUGAGUAAUGCCUAGGAAUCUGCCUAGUGGUGGGGGAUAACGUUCGGAAACGGACGCUAAUACCGCAUACGUCCUACGGGAGAAAGCGGGGGACCUUCGGGCCUCGCGCCAUUAGAUGAGCCUAGGUCGGAUUAGCUAGUUGGUGAGGUAAUGGCUCACCAAGGCGACGAUCCGUAACUGGUCUGAGAGGAUGAUCAGUCACACUGGAACUGAGACACGGUCCAGACUCCUACGGGAGGCAGCAGUGGGGAAUAUUGGACAAUGGGCGAAAGCCUGAUCCAGCCAUGCCGCGUGUGUGAAGAAGGUCUUCGGAUUGUAAAGCACUUUAAGUUGGAGGAAGGUUGUAACCUAAUACGUUGCAACUUUGACGUUACCGACAGAAUAAGCAACCGGCUAAACUUCGUUCCAGCAGCCGCGGUAA
rnacentral:rRNA from 1 species